rnacentral:rRNA from 1 species
AUUGAACGCUGGCGGCAGGCCUAACACAUGCAAGUCGAACGGUAGCACAGAGAGCUUGCUCUCGGGUGACGAGUGGCGGACGGGUGAGUAAUGUCUGGGAAACUGCCUGAUGGAGGGGGAUAACUACUGGAAACGGUAGCUAAUACCGCAUAACGUCGCAAGACCAAAGAGGGGGACCUUCGGGCCUCUUGCCAUCAGAUGUGCCCAGAUGGGAUUAGCUAGUAGGUGGGGUAACGGCUCACCUAGGCGACGAUCCCUAGCUGGUCUGAGAGGAUGACCAGCCACACUGGAACUGAGACACGGUCCAGACUCCUACGGGAGGCAGCAGUGGGGAAUAUUGCACAAUGGGCGCAAGCCUGAUGCAGCCAUGCCGCGUGUAUGAAGAGGGCCUUCGGGUUGUAAAGUACUUUCAGCGGGGAGGAAGGUGUUGUGGUUAAUAACCACAGCAAUUGACGUUACCCGCAGAAGAAGCACCGGCUAA